AUUGAACGCUGGCGGCAGGCCUAACACAUGCAAGUCGAGCGGAGCGGCGGACGGGUGAGUAAUGCCUAGGAAUCUGCCUGGUAGUGGGGGAUAACGUCCGGAAACGGGCGCUAAUACCGCAUACUAUCAGAUGAGCCUAGGUCGGAUUGACUAGUGGGUGGGGUAAAGGCCUACCAGGGCGACGAUCCGUAACUGGUCUGAGAGGAUGAUCAGUCCAACGGGAACGGAGAAACGGUCCAGAUUCCUACGGGGGGCAGAAGGGGGGAAUAUUGGACAAUGGGCGAAAGCCUGAUGCAGCCAUGCCGCGUGUGUGAAGAAGGUCUUCGGAUUGUAAAGCACGUUAAGUUGGGAGGCGGUACCAACAGAAUAAGCACCGGCUAACUUCGUGCCAGCAGCCGCGGUAAUAC
rnacentral:rRNA from 1 species